GACGAACGCUGGCGGCGUGCUUAACACAUGCAAGUCGAACGGAAAGGCCCUGCUUUUGUGGGGUGCUCGAGUGGCGAACGGGUGAGUAACACGUGAGUAACCUGCCCUUGACUUUGGGAUAACUUCAGGAAACUGGGGCUAAUACCGGAUAGGAGCUCCUGCUGCAUGGUGGGGGUUGGAAAGUUUCGGCGGUUGGGGAUGGACUCGCGGCUUAUCAGCUUGUUGGUGGGGUAGUGGCUUACCAAGGCUUUGACGGGUAGCCGGCCUGGGAGGGUGACCGGCCACAUUGGGCCUGCGAUACGGCCCAGACUCCUACGGGAGGCAGAAGUGGGGAAUAUUGCCCAAUGGGCGGAAGCCUGAUGCAGCAGCGCCGCGUUCGUGAUGACGGCCUUCGGGUUGUAAACCGCUUUCGCCUGUGACGAAGCGUGAGUGACGGUACUGGGUAAAGAAGCACCGGCUAACUACGUG
rnacentral:rRNA from 1 species